rnacentral:sRNA from 1 species
UUAUAUAUUGAACAAAAAAGUAACAAGGAAAUCUCCAAGAUAUUAUUUAACAUGUGCGUCCUUGUUGAAGACUGGAAAUGCUACAACUGUUCC